rnacentral:rRNA from 1 species
ACAAAGACACCAGAGCUUGCUCACCGUUUUUGUUGAGUAGCGAACGGGUGAGUAACGCGUGGGUAACCUGCCGUUAUAGCGGGGAUAACUAUUGGAAACGAUAGCUAAUACCGCAUAACAAUAGAGAUUGCAUAAUCUUUAUUUGAAAGUGCCAACUGGUACACUAUGAGAUGGACCCGCGUUGUAUUAGCUAGUUGGUAGUGUAAUGGACUACCAAGGCGAUGAUACAUAGCCGACCUGAGAGGGUGAUCGGCCACAUUGGGACUGAGACACGGCCCAAACUCCUACGGGAGGCAGCAGUAGGGAAUCUUCGGCAAUGGACGAAAGUCUGACCGAGCAACGCCGCGUGAGUGAAGAAGGUUUUCGGAUCGUAAAACUCUGUUGUUAGAGAAGAAUGUUGAUUAGAGUGGAAAAUUAAUCAAGUGACGGUAUCUAACCAGAAAGGGACGGCUAACUACGUG